CACCGGCGGCUCGAGUGGUGGCCACUUUUAUUGGGUCUAAAGCGUCCGUAGCCGGCCUAGUAAGUCUCUCGGGAAAUCCGGCGGCUUAACCGUCGGGCGUCCGAGAGAUACUGCUAGGCUUGGGACCGGGAGAGGCCGAGGGUACUCCCGGGGUAGGGGUGAAAUCCUGUAAUCCCGGGAGGACCACCGGUGGCGAAGGCGCUCGGCUGGAACGGGUCCGACGGUGAGGGACGAAGGCCAGGGGAGCGAACCGG
rnacentral:rRNA from 1 species